AUACGUAGGGGGCGAGCGUUGUCCGGAAUGAUUGGGCGUAAAGGGCGCGUAGGCGGCCCGGUAAGUCUGGAGUGAAAGUCCUGUUUUUAAGAUGGGAAUUGCUUUGGAUACUGUCGGGCUUGAGUGCAGGAGAGGUAAGUGGAAUUCCCAGUGUAGCGGUGAAAUGCGUAGAGAUUGGGAGGAACACCAGUGGCGAAGGCGACUUACUGGACUGUAACUGACGCUGAGGCGCGAAAGUGUGGGGAGCAAACAGUAUUAGAUACCCUGGUAGUCCACACUGUAAACGAUGAAUGCUAGGUGUAGGGGGUAUCGACCCCUUCUGUGCCGCAGUCAACACAAUAAGCAUUCCGCCUGGGGAGUACGGCCGCAAGGUUGAAACUCAAAGUAAUUGACGGGG
rnacentral:rRNA from 1 species